AUUGAACGCUGGCGGAAUGCUUUACACAUGCAAGUCGAACGGACGGUAGCAAUACCGUUAGUGGCGGACGGGUGAGUAACGCGUGGGAACCUGCCUCGAAGUUCGGAAUAACCGCGGGAAACUGCGGCUAAUACCGGAUGUGGCCUGAGGGUCAAAGGCGCAAGUCGCUUCGAGAGGGGCCCGCUUCCGAUUAGCUAGUUGGUGGGGUAACGGCCUACCAAGGCGACGAUCGGUAGCUGGUCUGAGAGGAUGAUCAGCCACACUGGGACUGAGACACGGCCCAGACUCCUACGGGAGGCAGCAGUGGGGAAUAUUGGACAAUGGGGGAAACCCUGAUCCAGCAAUGCCGCGUGGGUGAUGAAGGCCUUGGUU
rnacentral:rRNA from 1 species